rnacentral:rRNA from 1 species
AUAGAGCCUUCCCCUUCGGGGGACAAAGUGACAGGUGGUGCAUGGUUGUCGUCAGCUCGUGUCGUGAGAUGUUGGGUUAAGUCCCGCAACGAGCGCAACCCUUAAGCUUAGUUGCCAUCAUUAAGUUGGGCACUCUAAGUUGACUGGCGGUGACAAACCGGAGGAAGGUGGGGAUGACGUCAAAUCAUCAUGCCCCUUAUGAUUUGGGCUACACACGUGCUACAAUGGACAAUACAAAGGGCAGCGAAACCGCGAGGUCAAGCAAAUCCCAUAAAGUUGUUCUCAGUUCGGAU